rnacentral:lncRNA from 1 species
CAGGAUGCAGGUCGUCCAAGGAAAUUUUGACCACUGGUGGAGAUUUUGCUCAAGCCUAAAUAAAAGUCAAAUUGGGCAAGCAGGUGGACUAUUUUCUAGACCACCACAAGCCAAUAGUACUACAAAGCUUGAGGAGACUCUCCAACAGUUCAUGCAGGGAUCUUUCUCCAUUCAGAAAAGCACUCAGGCAGCAUCUAAAAGCAUGGAGGCGC